CCGUUCUCCUUCUACAGAUAACACUUGACGGCUUAUUUGAGUAGCUUUUUAUUUUUAUUUUAGAUCUCUUAUAAUUUUAAUUUAAUAUAAUAAAAUGAUGAAAUUUAUUUAUAAGUUUAUUGUGUAAAUUUUUUAUUUUAAUUUUUUAUUUUUAAUUAAUAAAAAUAUUAUAAAUCUAAAUUAAAAUAUAUAUUCAUAAAUUAUUUUUUAAAAACUAUCUAUA
rnacentral:lncRNA from 1 species